rnacentral:rRNA from 1 species
ACGUCAGAACUGUUUCGGGUCUUCCAUCAGGGUUUCCCCUGACUUCAACCUGAUCAAGUAUAGUUCACCAUCUUUCGGGUCACAGCAUAUAUGCUCAAGGGUACGGUUCCAGUUAGAGGGUAUAAAUUAUUAAUUUAUACAUAACUAUAUAGAGGCGCCCCGGGAUUGUGUUAAUAAAUUAUAAAUAAUUUAAAAACUAAUCCCCAUUUAAAUAAAGUCCAAGUUAAUUAUGCCAUUAAGGUUU